rnacentral:rRNA from 1 species
AAAAACAUCGCCUCUUGGUAAACCAAAAGUAUAAGAGGUCCCGCCUGCCCUGUGACUAUAUGUUUAACGGCCGCGGUAUUUUGACCGUGCGAAGGUAGCGCAAUCACUUGUCUUUUAAAUGGGGACCUGUAUGAAUGGCAUAACGAGGGCUUAACUGUCUCCUUUUUCAAGUCAGUGAAAUUGAUCUCCCCGUGCAGAAGCGGGGAUAGACACAUAAGACGAGAAGACCCUGUGGAGCUUCAGACACUAAAGCAGAUCAGUAUUAAUACCCUGAACAUAAGGCACGAAUAAGAUGAUUCCUGCCCUAAUGUCUUCGGUUGGGGCGACCGCGGAGAAAUAUAUAACCCCCGCAAGGACUGAAUGUACUACAUUCACAACCAAGAGUGACAACUCUAAUUAACAGAACUUCUGACCAAUAAGAUCCGGCAAUGCCGAUUAAUGAACCAAGUUACCCCAGGGAUAACAGCGCAAUCUCCUCUUAGAGUCCAUAUCGACGAGGAGGUUUACGACCUCGAUGUUGGAUCAGGACAUCCUAAUGGUGCAACCGCUAUUAAGGGUUCGUUUGUUCAACGAUUAAAGUCCUACGUGAUCUGAG